rnacentral:rRNA from 1 species
CAGUCGCCACGGUAAUACAGAGGAUGCAAGCGUUAUCCGGAAUGAUUGGGCGUAAAGCGUCCGUAGGUGGCUUUUCAAGUCCGCCGUCAAAUCCCAGGGCUCAACCCUGGACAGGCGGUGGAAACUACCAAGCUGGAGUACGGUAGGGGCAGAGGGAAUUUCCAGUGGAGCGGUGAAAUGCGUUGAGAUCGAAAAGAACACCAACAGCGAAAGCACUCUGCUGGGACGACACUGACACUAAGAGACGAAAGCUAGGGGAGCAAAUGGGAUUAGAUACCCGUGUAGUCCCUGUCUCUUAUAC